GAUGAAGAACGUAGCGAAAUGCGAUAAGUAAUGUGAAUUGCAGAAUUCAGUGAAUCAUCGAAUCUUUGAACGCACCUUGCACCCUUUGGCAUUCUGAAGGGUAUGCUCGUUUGAGUGUCAUUGUACUCUCACACUCCCGAUCUUUGCAUUGGGAGCAGUGGACUUGGGUUUGCUGCUUCACCGUCGCUUACCUCAAAUAGGUUAGUGCAACUCUUGGUUGGACAUAGUACGGCGUGAUAAGUGUUCUUCGCCGGUGCCUCGCAAAGAGGGUGGCCGAUCGGGAUGUUGUGCUCCAAACCGUCUUCGGACAAUCUCUGACGACUUGACCUCAAAUCGAGUAAGACUACCCGCUGAACUUAAGCAUAUCAAUAGCGGAGGA
rnacentral:misc_RNA from 1 species